UACGGGGGGGGCAAGCGUUGUUCGGAAUUACUGGGCGUAAAGGGUUCGUAGGCGGCCAACUAAGUCAGACGUGAAAUCCCUCAGCUUAACUGGGGAACUGCGUCUGAUACUGGAUGGCUUGGAUCCGGGAGAGGGAUGCGGAAUUCCAGGUGUAGCGGUGAAAUGCGUAGAUAUCUGGAGGAACACCGGUGGCGAAGGCGGCAUCCUGGACCGGUAUUGACGCUGAGGAGCGAAAGCCAGGGGAGCAAACGGG
rnacentral:rRNA from 1 species